AUUGAACGCUGGCGGCAGGCUUAACACAUGCAAGUCGAGCGGGGUGAUGGUGCUUGCACUAUCACUUAGCGGCGGACGGGUGAGUAAUGCUUAGGAAUCUGCCUAUUAGUGGGGGACAACAUCUCGAAAGGGAUGCUAAUACCGCAUACGUCCUACGGGAGAAAGCAGGGGAUCACUUGUGACCUUGCGCUAAUAGAGGAGCCUAAGUCGGAUUAGCUAGUUGGUGGGGUAAAGGCCUACCAAGGCGACGAUCUGUAGCGGGUCUGAGAGGAUGAUCCGCCACACUGGGACUGAGACACGGCCCAGACUCCUACGGGAGGCAGCAGUGGGGAAUAUUGGACAAUGGGGGGAACCCUGAUCCAGCCAUGCCGCGUGUGUGAAGAAGGCCUUAUGGUUGUAAAGCACUUUAAGCGAGGAGGAGGCUCCUUUGGUUAAUACCCAAGAUGAGUGGACGUUACUCGCAGAAUAAGGACCGGCUAACUCUGUGCCAGCCGCCGCUGUAA
rnacentral:rRNA from 1 species